CCUACGGGUGGCAGCAGUGAGGAAUAUUGGUCAAUGGCCGAAAGGCUGAACCAGCCAAGUAGCGUGAAGGAUGACUGCCCUAUGGGUUGUAAACCUCUUUUAUGUGGGAAUAAAACUUUCCACGUGUGGAAUUUUGUAUGUACCGUAUGAAUAAGGAUCGGCUAACUCCGUGCCAGCAGCCGCGGUAAUACGGAAGUUCCGAGCGUUAUCCGGAUUUAUUGGGUUUAAAGGGAGCGUAGGUGGAUUGUUAAGUCAGUUGUGAAAGUUUGCGGCUCAACCGUAAAAUUGCAGUUGAGACUGGCAGUCUUGAGUACAGUAGAGGUAGGCGGAAUUCGUGGUGUAGCGGUGAAAUGCUUAGAUAUCACGAAGAACCCCGAUUGCGAAGGCAGUUUACUAAACUGCAACUGACACUGAGGCUCGAAAGUGUGGGUAUCAAACAGGAGUAGAUACCCUAGUAGUC
rnacentral:rRNA from 1 species